AGCCCGAUAGUGUAGCGGUCAAGCAUAGAGGCCUUUGAAGCCUUUGACCCCAGUUCGAGUCUGGGCCGGGCUACCA
rnacentral:tRNA from 1 species